CGUUGGGGUGCUCGAGUGGCGAACGGGUGAGUAACACGUGAGUAACCUGCCCUUGACUUUGGGAUAACUUCAGGAAACUGGGGCUAAUACCGGAUAGGAGCUCCUGCUGCAUGGUGGGGGUUGGAAAGUUUCGGCGGUUGGGGAUGGACUCGCGGCUUAUCAGCUUGUUGGUGGGGUAGUGGCUUACCAAGGCUUUGACGGGUAGCCGGCCUGAGAGGGUGACCGGCCACAUUGGGGCUGAGAUACGGCCCAG
rnacentral:rRNA from 1 species